UACGGAGGGCGCAAGCGUUAUCCGGAAUCACUGGGUUUAAAGGGCGCGUAGGGGGUGGUGUAAGACAGUUGUGAAAUGCCCCGGCUUAACCGGCGGAAGUGCGAUUGAUACUGCAUCACUUGAAUCAGGAUGAGGCAGGCGGAAUGUGGGAUGUAGCGGUGAAAUGCUUAGAUAUGCCAAAGAACACCAAUUGCGAAGGCAGCUUGCUGGGCCUGAAUUGACGCUGAGGCACGAAAGCGUGGGGAGCAAACAGG
rnacentral:rRNA from 1 species